AACAGGACAUUAUCAACCUCCCUAAACCUGUUCAAGACAAAAAAGUUAAACACUCUGACCAAUUUUAUUGAAAUGCUCUGAAUCAGGUAAGCUAAGUAAAAAUAAUCCACAUUAUCGGACUGCUAUCUAUUGAUCCGAAAGUAUAUUUAAUUUGGCUGAGAAAAAUCCAGCGAGAAUGAACUAUAAAGAACUCCUGGACGACUUUCAGGAGGACAAACAAUGCAUUGACAGUUUUACAGAGGAUAUGCCAAGGAUCUUAAGUCGUCUUUUAUCUCGCCAUGUUCUGUCGUGAUGAUCUUGGCCUGGAGCAUUUCAGUAGAAUUACUAGACAUCUCAAACAUGCACAAAUUCCUGAGUUUUUUCUUCAACAUCAGCAACCUCACAGCACACAUCCAGAGAGAAUGGAGUCACAUCUAUGAUGCUGCCAUUGUAAAAUGCUAAUAAUAAACAAGAAAGAGUGUUUAUUAGUGAGAAUAUCACGUUAUUUGACAGUGUGAUGCGCACUUGAUACCUUCAGGCGAUGUUACCUUACAGGCUGGUGUUGCAUUAAAUCACACUAUCAAAAAAUAAAUACAUAUCCUGAAUUAUUUAUAAGUAUCUGUAUGUCAUCAAUUGAAAUAGGUGUAUUAAUUAGGUGGAUGCUUUUCGUAAUCAUUCAAUUAUUAAUGAGAGUAUGAAUUCUAGCUGGAGGCUUGAAAAAGGUGUGGCUCAGUGUUUCCUGAUGCCAGAACUAACAUGUAACUAAUAGACUCUGCUCUACACAAUCUUUUCAGGCUUUUUAUUUCUGUUAUUUAUUCUUUAUUCUUCUUAUCAGACAGUGCAGUGAGAUUGAGGUGCUGUUAGAUCAGCUUGGCAAAAAAAUGAGCGGAGGAAAUCUGCCCAAAAAAAUCUCCCAGGAAAAACACUAAGCCCAGGAAAUUUGAUCUGACCCAGCCCAAAGCUCGCCCGCUCCCUGCUCCUGAAGUCAUUCCACGGAAGGACAAGUUCAAGCCAGUACCAGCCACCACUCACAGAACUCCAAAGGAACCAGAGAUUCUGGAUGAGAUGAAGCAGAGUAAUCAACAAAAGCUUUA